rnacentral:rRNA from 1 species
AAAUGCGGUCCUGAGGAUUAGCAUCGCUAAUCCGUCCAGCGCCGCGGUAAUACGGGGAGCAAGCGUUAUCGGAAUGAUUGGGCUAAACGUCCGCAGGUGGCAAUUCAAGUCUGCUGUCAAAGCGUCUGGCUUAACCAGAUAAAGGCAGUGGAAACUACAUGACUAGAGUAAGGUAGGGGUAGAGGGAAUUCCCGGUGUAGCGGUGAAAUGAGUAGAUAUCGGGAAGAACACCGGUGGCGAAAGCGCUCUGCUGACCUCAACUGACACUCAGGACGAAAAGCUG